AAGAAAAUAUAUAAUUUAAUUGUAAAUUUUUUUUAUUUUUUUUUACUACUUAACCCCCCCGCUUGUCCACUUUUUUUUUGGAAGCAGACCUGGCAACCCUAUUUUCAGAAUGCUGUGCCAAACCCCUUUUCUUGAGCGGGGAGGAGGAAAACCACCUUUAGUGCAGGGCUCCUGCUCCCACUGCCACCGUGCAAGCCCGUCCACAGCAGAGGCACCAUCCAAAGAUCACCUUAUAAGAGAGACACCAGAUCAAGAAACUGACUCCUUAGGAAGACUAGAACUAUAAAUUAUUGACAUAGGCUAGUAGCAGAAUCCUGCAAGCCUGAAGGAAAAAGAACUCUAGAGGCCCCAAUGCAUGAGGAAAUUUCUCUGGAAAAAACUGAGCAAGCUAUUCUAACUCUGAAAAAGAGUAGAACUUCAUGAGGAGGAGUAAGAAUGCAUGAGUAAUGAGAAAAAUAGUGUUUUUUCACUGAAAAUGAGAGGAGAAUUCUGAAUUGGGAGAAUUCUGAACUUGCCAACAAGGAAGAAAAGAUACCAGGACUCACAAAAAGUCUAAAAUGGAGAAAGUACCUGAUGAAUGAAAAAAUGGAGAUGAAGGACACCUCUUCCUGCAACAGAAGUUCAGCAGAAAGGGAAAGAUACACAGGAUCCUUCCAAAUUUAUGGGGGAGGGGGAAUGGAAAAUGGAAGGGAGAAUUGUGAGGUUAAAAUGGGGAACCAGUGGCUCCUGGCCAAAUAUGCCAUUAUGUAAAGAUAUAACAACUGCUGGGCUUUAAAGCCAAGUAGCACUGGGACAACCAUCCAUUGAUUUGGAUGGAUAAUAGGAAGAAGCCACUAGUUUAAACUCAAAGACUGUAAAAUCAUUUACAUUUUUUCAUGGGCAGUGGGCAACCAACUCUUAUUUAUGGCUUCCUUUUUAUCUACAAUAAAGUUUUCAGCUGGCCCAAGAUGCUUCUGCCAAGCUUGGCCAAGAUACAUAAAGCCAUGAAAAAUCAUGAGUUACGUGAUUUGCUAAUGAAUCUUAAUGGGUGGAGCCCGACAACAGUAUUACAUCAAGUAUGUAACUUUUAGACAAACAUGAUAAAAUAGUAAGAUAAUAAACAGUUUGUAGGAAUUACAAUACAUUCAAAUAGCACCAUAUAUUUUACCUCUGCUGCUAUUGCUCUUUUAACACAUUCUUGCUGAUAAUCCUGGGUCUUCUUUAUAAGUUCCUCCAUUUUUAUUUUUUCACAUUCAAACCUAUUGCUGUGAAGUAAAGUUAAAGACUAUUAACA